GACGAACGCUGGCGGCGUGCUUAACACAUGCAAGUCGAGCGGUAAGGCCCUUUCGGGGGUACGACGAGCGGCGAACGGGUGAGUAACACGUGGGUGACCUGCCCUCAGCUCUGGGAUAAGCCUGGGAAACCGGGUCUAAUACUGGAUAUGACUCCAUGACGCAUGUUGUGGGGUGGAAAGCCUUGUGCGGCUGAGGAUGGGCCCGCGGCCUAUCAGCUUGUUGGUGGGGUGAGGCCUACCAAGACGACGACGGGUAGCCGCCGUGAGAGGGCGGACCGGCCGACACUGGGACGUGAGACACGGCCCGAC
rnacentral:rRNA from 1 species